rnacentral:rRNA from 1 species
GAUGAACGCUGGCGGCGUGCCUAAUACAUGCAAGUCGAGCGAACAGACGAGGAGCUUGCUCCACUGACGUUAGCGGCGGACGGGUGAGUAACACGUGGAUAACCUACCUAUAAGACUGGGAUAACUUCGGGAAACCGGAGCUAAUACCGGAUAAUAUAUUGAACCGCAUGGUUCAAUAGUGAAAGACGGUUUUGCUGUCACUUAUAGAUGGAUCCGCGCCGCAUUAGCUAGUUGGUAAGGUAACGGCUUACCAAGGCAACGAUGCGUAGCCGACCUGAGAGGGUGUUCGCCCACACUGGAGCUGGGACACGGUCCAGGCUCCUACGGGAGGCAGCAGUAGGGAAUCUUCCGCAAUGGGCGAAAGCCUGACGGAGCAACGCCGCGUGAGUGAUGAAGGUCUUCGGAGCGUAAAACUCUGUUAUUAGGGUAGAACAAAUGUGUAAGUAACUAUGCACGUCUUGACGGUACCUAGUCAGAAAGCCACGGCUAACUACGUG